AUGGCCGACCUGACCCAAGGUGCGGUGGACUCGCUAGUGGGCGUGCUCAAGACCGCGGUGACGAAGGAGGCGAAGCUGCUGGGUGGCCUGCAGGGUGACAUGGAGUUCAUCAAGGACGAGAUGGAGAGCAUGAACGGCUUCCUCAUCCACCUCACCAAGACGGAGGGCAUGCACGACGACCAGCUCCGAGCCUGGAUGAAGCAGGUCCGCGAUAUCUCCUACAUCGCCCAGGACUGCAUCGAGCUCUACAGGCGCGACUUCAUGGCCCCGUCCAGCGGCGGCCUCCGGGCCCACCUCCACCACUACCUGGUGCAACUCGGGAGACUUCGGGGGCGCGACCGCCUCGCCAGGAGGAUCCGCGACCUCAAGGCCCGCGUCAAGGACGUCGCCGAGAGGCGGGAGCGCUACCAAGUCAGCAUCCCCCAGCCCAAGGAAGAGGAAGGGCUGCCCACGGAGUGGCUCGCCCUCGACGGGGAGCAAGCUAGCCUGAACCCCGACGAGAUCGACGAGGCCAGAGAAAAAUUUGUACGUGCGCUAGCACGUGACAAGGAGAAGCAGCAGCAGAAGCAGGAGCUCUCUGGUUUUGACGAGGCCACCGGUCUCGUUACACAAGGUCUUCAAUCGACUGCCACGAAACCAAUCCCAAGUUUUGAAGCAAUCCCAAGCUUUGAGGAGGCCAUCGGUCUCAUCGUUCCUCAAGAUCUUCGAUCGAUGGCCACUGAAGUACGGAGUUGCCUCCUUAAACACUUCUCGCACCAGCAAGCCCGUGCGACCGUGUGCUUGGAGAUGCUCCUCCGUGCUCUUCAGGAUCAUAGCCGUGUCCUCCGGGCGGUCGAGAAGAGCAAGGGAGAAUUGAAGAAGUUAGUGGAUGAAGCCGGCAUGGACACCAAUGAUUUUCCAACUCAAGUGAUGAUCUUCUGCUACAGCAAGUUGUCCAGAAGUUACAAGAGCUGCUUGCAGUAUCUCUACGCCUUCCGCGAUGAAACUGCCAUCAGCAGGACAAGCUUGGUCCGGCGAUGGCUCGCUGAAGGCCGUGUGGAGAAGCAAGGUCAUGCAUCCAAGCAAGCUGAUGCUUCCCUCGAGGAGGUAGCGGAGAUCUGCUUCAGAGAUCUCCUCUUCCAGGGGUUUCUUCUUCCUGCCGACGACCCAGCCAUGGUCACCAGCAAGGUCAAGACCUGCAAAAUUGACAACAUCGUCUGGAAGUUCCUCCGCCGCAUGUCCACAACUGAGAACUUUGUGGACAACUUGCCGACUCACCUCGACUACCAGCUUCGCAUACGACAGUAUGUGAAACGGCAAGAAGAGCACCUGCUGAAGAAUCAUCCACGACCACGACAGUCAUGGAGCAUCUGCGGACGCGGGACGAUGCUGUCGCGUGACAGCACGGUGGCAGAUCCCGAUCCCAUGGUUGACAUGCUCAACUUCCUCAUUUCUCUUGACCAAACCUACCGGCUAAAUGUACUGGAUCUCGGGGGUUGCAAGGGUCUAGAGAAGAGCCAUCUCAAGAGCAUCUGCAAGAUUAUCUCGCUCAAGUACCUCAGCCUCCGGAACACGGACGUCUCCCACCUUCCCUGGCAGAUCAACAAUCUCGUGUUGCUGGAGACGCUCGACAUCCGGCAAACUAAGGUACAAGGCCAAGACAUGAAGCAAAUUUACCUCCGAAAGCUAAAGCACCUACUCACCAGCCUGAAGCUGACAACGGAGGAGGAGACACUCUGCUGGGCGGGUAUGCCUAGUAGGAUCGGGAAGAUGCAAGACAUGGAGAUAUUGUCCAGGGUCCAGGUUCAGCACGGCAAGCAAGAACUCAAUGAAGUUGGCCGACUGCUGAAGCUUAGGAAGCUAGGUGUGGUUCUUGUUGGCAGCCAAAGCCUAGCUCAAGACAACAUGAGCAAUCUACUCCAAGCAAUCACCAAGCUGAGAGAGUGCUUAUGCUCUCUGUCAAUAUGGGUCGUCACUCCGCCACCCAUCAAUAAUGGCGACCCUAGUGUCAGUGUGAAUAUGGAGAUGGUACAAGAGCUAAGUGCACCAAAGUUACUCAAGAGCUUGAAUAUCAGGGGUGUGCGCUUUCUCAACACCAGGCUGCCUGGCUGGAUCCGGGAGCUGCAACAACUCUCUGAGAUUACACUAUGUGAUACCUUUCUAUCUAAAUACUCUCUGCAGGACCUUGGCAACAAUCUCAAUCACUUGCGCUGCCUUCGGCUCCGUCGCAGCUCGUACAACGAGCACAAGCUCACCUUUAGCAAGGAUGGAUUCCAAGAACUCAGGCUCCUUAUCAUCGAGGGCAACACCAUCACAACCGUCGAAUUUCAAGAAGAUAUUUCUUGCCCUCGGCUCAAGAAGAUUGUUUGGCGCAACAUGGCCCUCAAGCAGGAAGGCACCCUCUCUGGAAUCCGCCACCUUCAGGGGCUGCAAGAGGUGGAGCUCAAGGGCUGCUUCGCGGACUUGACCUCAAUCACAAACAGCAUGGGGCCCAAUGGCAAACUGACCCAUGUGUUGCACUUGCAGGAUUGA
rnacentral:rRNA from 1 species